GACCAGACUGAAGUGCGGACAUGCGUUUAUGCUAAUGUUGCGGUAAAGUAAGUUUAUAGGCUUAUAAAUCCAAACAAGUCUGCAGAUACCAGUACAUUUUUAUACGUUUAUGUAUAAAGCAUGUAUAAAUCUAUGCUGUUAGCACUGCGCCAUCCCAUAAUCUGGCAUACGCUAGCGUUAUUUGGUAGAAUUUGUCUUUUUUUUUUCUCUCUUUCUCGUUCCUCUUUUAACGACACCCACUUUCUCUCCUCCAUAUUUCAGGUCCGCUCCCUGAAGCAAAGCCUCUCCUCCUGACUUUCCGGAAGCUUCUGUACUGGACAGAGGAGACAUCUGCAACAUGUUCAGCACCAAAAGGUCCGCUCCCUGAAGCAAAGCCUCUCCUCCUGACUUUCCGGAAGCUUCUGUACUGGACAGAGGAGACAUCUGCAACAUGUUCAGCACCAAAAGUUGAUUUCCGAUCGUGAUAACAUCGGUGGGGAAGUAAUCGCCGGGUCAUUCAGUGGCUUCUGUUCUGUUGAGUACAUUUCUUUUCAUUAAUGUCUUUUAUUAGAUUUUUUUAUUUUAAAAAAUCGUUCACUGUCAUCUGUACAGAGUGUAAGCACCCUUUUCUGUUUUGAUGAUGACGUGACUGCACAGGAGCUUCAUGGGUAUUGAACAAAAAAAGAUUUUAUUAUUAUUAUUAUUUUUUUAAAGACAUGUCAAAGCGUAUUAUUGGCAGAAAAAACCUCAUUUCGGACUUAAGCUGAUUUUUCAUCAUCACUCAGAUUUGAGUGAUCUUAAUUGAUCUACUAAUCCAGCCUCGACCUGGUAAAGACAGUCAUUCUCGUUCUAAGAUGUUUGUGUCUCCUACAUGCUGCAUGUAAGAG
ensembl:lncRNA